AAGGCGGGUUAAUUUGCUAAGUUUAGGCUCCAACACUUAGAAUGAAAAAAAAUUGCCACCAAAACAUGUGAGAUAGCUUUGUAUUGCUUCUCAGAAUCGUAAAGUGGAGUCUCUUUCUCUUUCUCUUUCUCUCUUGAACUCAUUGUCUCUUGGUCUCCAUCUCUCCUCUGUCGUGUUUGCCGGUCAGUUUCUUCAUGGCUUCCACCAGACAAACCUCCAAUCUUCGUCGUUCACAGCCAGCCGAGUUAUAUCUCCUGGGUAUACCCAGUCGUAAUCUCUCUCUUUGCCAUUGUCUCCGUUUCCUUUUCGUACUUUCGAGUUCAACAAGAGUAGAGCUGAUGUUUUUGACGAAACUUGUAAGAACAAGAAGAAUCUCGAAAGAAAAAAACGCAAGCUCAAUCCCAACACUACUGCUUACGCUCAGGAAUGGAUACACAAGAUACUUUGUCUUCUGUAUUACUCUUCUUUAAUAAACAAUGAUUCAUCUUUAAUGGAUAGGGCUUGCAACUUUCUGUGAUCAAAACAUAAGAUUUAACUAUCAAAGGUUUAUCCGAGUGAUGUGAUGGGAUCUUCAGUACCUGGUCCCAUUGUUCUCCUUGUGGACUGUCCAACUGAGUCGUUGGACAAUUGUUAUCAGCUGAGUCUUUGCUGGACACCAAAGGUUUCUUGCUCCUCUUCAUUUCUGUUGUUUUCAUCAAAAACUGUUACUUAAUUUGCUUGGUGCUAAUGUUUCUUUUUGGUGUAUUCAAGAAGAAUAUGGAGUUUCCAAUUCUGAAAGCAUGUUCAAGAAUCGCAGGUGACUGAAUACUCUUUGUGCUGACUAAUGUUAAGGCAGCAAAGUUCUUAUCCAAGGUGUAUCUUUUUGUUUUUCAAAAAUUUGGAUGGUUAACGAAUAAAGAGGUUUAGUUGUUAUUUCAGAAUUUACUUUGAUUACUGAAGCUUUAGUUUGCUAGACUGACCAAAACAUAGACACCCUUAGCCCCUGUUUUCUGAUUUGUUUCUCUAAUUGUUCAGAUGAUGAAGAAGAACUUGCUAAGUACCCACUCACCACUGAAUCCACAAUGAAGAUGACUGGAAUACUGGUACUUGUUCAGAUGAUGAAGAUGAGGAGCAACUCUUUUCUGAGGAAUUAUUGUGUGCUCCAAACGAAACCAUAACCAAAUAUAAGUGUAGUUUUUAGUAACAUUGUUUGUUAGUUUUGGGUUUU